GCCGGGCGUGAUGGCGGGCGCCUGUAGUCCCAGCUACUCGGGAGGCUGAGGCAGGAGAAUCGCUUGAACCCGGGGGGGCAGAGGUUGCAGUGAGCUGAGGUCACACCACUGCACUCCAGCCUGGGUGACAGAGCGAGACUCUGUCUCAA
rnacentral:sRNA from 1 species